rnacentral:rRNA from 1 species
AGCGAACGCUGGCGGCAGGCUUAACACAUGCAAGUCGAGCGGGCAUCCUUGUGGUGUCAGCGGCAGACGGGUGAGUAACGCGUGGGAACGUGCCCUUCGGUUCGGAAUAACUCAGGGAAACUUGGGCUAAUACCGGAUACGUGCGAGAGCAGAAAGGUUUAUCUGCCGAAGGAUCGGCCCGCGUCUGAUUAGCUAGUUGGUGAGGUUAUGGCUCACCAAGGCGACGAUCAGUAGCUGGUCUGAGAGGAUGAUCAGCCACACUGGGACUGAGACACGGCCCAGACUCCUACGGGAGGCAGCAGUGGGGAAUAUUGGACAAUGGGGGCAACCCUGAUCCAGCCAUGCCGCGUGAGUGAUGACGGCCUUAGGGUUGUAAAGCUCUUUUCUCCGGGACGAUAAUGACGGUACCGGAGGAAUAAGCCCCGGCUAACUUCGUG